rnacentral:rRNA from 1 species
GACGAACGCUGGCGGCGUGCUUAACACAUGCAAGUCGAACGGAAAGGCCCUGCUUUUGUGGGGUGCUCGAGUGGCGAACGGGUGAGUAACACGUGAGUAACCUGCCCUUGACUUUGGGAUAACUUCAGUAAACUGGGGCUAAUACCGGAUAGGAGCUCCUGCUGCAUGGUGGUGGUUGGAAAGUUUCGGCGGUUGGGGAUGGACUCGCGGCUUAUCAGCUUGUUGGUGGGGUAGUGGCUUACCAAGGCUUUGACGGGUAGCCGGCCUGAGAGGGUGACCGGCCACAUUGGGACUGAGAUACGGCCCAGACUCCUACGGGAGGCAGCAGUGGGGAAUAUUGCACAAUGGGCGGAAGCCUGAUGCAGCAACGCCGCGUGCGGGAUGACGGCCUUCGGGUUGUAAACCGCUUUCGCCUGUGACGAAGCGUGAGUGACGGUAAUGGGUAAAGAAGCACCGGCUAACUACGUG